CUUUAUCGGAGAGUUUGAUCCUGGCUCAGGACGAACGCUGGCGGCGUGCCUAAUACAUGCAAGUCGAGCGGAC
rnacentral:rRNA from 3 species